AUUGAACGCUGGCGGCAGGCCUAACACAUGCAAGUCGAGCGAGCUGCGGACGGGUGAGUAAUGUAUGGGGACUUCCCGAUAGAGGGGGAUAACUACUGGAAACGGUUGCUAAUACCGCAUAUUGUCGGAUAACCCAUAUGGGAUGAGCUAGUAGGUAAGUUAAUGCAUUACAUAGGCGACGAUCCCUAGCUGGUCUGAGCGGAUGAUCAGCAACACUGGGACUGGGACACGGCCCAGACUCCUACGGAGGCAGGAGUGGGGAAUAUUGCACAAGGGGCGCAAGCCUGAUGCAGCCAUGCCGCGUGUAUGAAGAAGGCCCUAGGGUUGUAAAGUACUUUCAGUCGGGAGGCGUUACCGAAAGAGGAAGCACCGGCUAACUCCGUGCCAGCAGCCGCGGUAAUAC
rnacentral:rRNA from 1 species